AGACUCACAUCCGAGGCCUUGUAAUUGGAAUGAGUACACUUUAAAUCCUUUAACAAGGAUCAAUUGGAGGGCAAGUCUGGUGCCAGCAGCCGCGGUAAUUCCAGCUCCAAUAGCGUAUAUUAAAGUUGUUGCGGUUAAAACGUUCGUAGUUGAACUUGUGUUUCGCACGGGCAGUACCUAGGACUAGGCGACUAGGACGGUACCUGUCUUAUCUUUCCUUGUCUUUCAUUGGAUUUGGAAAAAGUGCGUGAACGUAUUAUCGGCGUGUUCGUUCUUGUAACGUUCACAUAAGCCCAUUUCAGUGCUCUUGACCGAGUGUUGUUGUGGGCCGAUACAAAUUACUUUGAACAAAUUAGAGUGCUUAAAGCAGGCUUGUAAUGCCUGAAUAUUUUGUGCAUGGAAUAAUGAAAUAGGACAUCUGUUCUACUUUCAUUGGUUUUUUAGACCAAGAUGUAAUGAUUAAUGGAAGCAGUUGGGGGCAUUAGUAUUACAACGCGAGAGGUGAAAUUCUUAGACCGUUGUAAGACUGACUAAAGCGAAAGCAUUUGCCAAAGAUGUUUUCAUUUAAUCAAGAACGAAAGUUAGAGGUUCGAAGGCGAUCAGAUACCGCCCUAGUUCUAACCAUAAACGAUGCCAGCUAGCAAUUGAGUGUAGCUACUACUAUGGCUCUUUCAGUCGCUUCUCGGGAAACCAAAGCUUUUGGGCUCCGGGGGAAGUAUGGUUGCAAAGCUGAAACUUAAAGGAAUUGACGGAAGGGCACCACCAGGAGUGGAGCCUGCGGCUUAAUUUGACUCAACACGGGAAAACUUACCAGGUCCGAACAUAAAUGAGUAAGACAGAUUGAUA
rnacentral:rRNA from 1 species